CUGUGCGAGGCGCAGGGGUCAGCGCGCCCCUGUCCGCGAGGAGGGCAGAGGGGGAGCCGCCGGGACCCCGCCUGAGAUCCCGCUCCCGGGAACACUGGAAACGGUAGAGCGAUUUGCGAUACUAAAUGAGAUAGUGCUUAGCGCUCCUGCUGUCCCGCGGCAAGCCCGCUUUCCUCGGGAGCCUGUCCUCGCUCCCUCUGGUGGGUCAAACCACCUGUUUUCGUAAGGACUUACAGUUUCCUACUACAGCGCCAAUCACAGUGGGCAAUGCGCCGUAGGAGCCAGGCUGAUAAGUUCUCCCUGCCACUGCAUUCCCUAGAGCCGUGGUGGAUACGCAGCAAGUAUUUCUGGGACGGAAAACUGAAGGAAUCCGUUAGGAGUUUGCCGAGAGGAAAGGGCGUUGUUACGGGGCGGUUGAGCCAGGUGCGAGGGACGCAGGUGGUGCUGACCAGGAUUCCUCCGUGAGGAGAAAUGAGAGUUUGUGGAAAUUAAUACUUAAAUAGGUAAGCAUCCCUGAUUCCUGAUGUGGAAACCAGCCCACGGCAAGCUUUAACAUCACCGGCGCUUUGGAAAGGACACUAGCUUUCUAAUUAACCUUCACUGGGGAUCCCAUCUAGGGUGACGUCACCGACGCCUGUGUGGGGUAGAGCACGUCAGAGUUAAGGUUCCAGCCAGAAGCAGAGCUUCGCAUGAGAUGACAGACUUUCUACCGCCUCGCUCUGAAUCCUGAGACAUUAUCAUGAGGAAUAUCUACACUUUGCAGAAUUUUGACCAAGAGAAGUUGACUUAUCAUUUCUUCUGCACAUUCCAAGCUUUUGGCUCAUCUCACCGUCUCAUUGGCUGCCAGUGACUCUGACGUGUCACACUGGUCCAGCUGGGGGAGCCAUACUGAUAUUAAAACUUAAAGCACUGGAAGAGAAUUCUCCCAAGGGAAAGUUUCCGAGGAAUUACUGUUCAACUAGUCUCUGUCAUCCCUCUGUAACCCCAAAAUGAAAACAAUAAUUUAAAAGCUUAUGUUGUCCCCAGCCAAAUAACCACAAUCUGCUCCCAAUGUAAGGUUCUGUAAUUACAUUAUUUUGAAGAAAUUCAAUAAAAUCUAUC